rnacentral:rRNA from 1 species
ACUCAAAGGAAUUGACGGGGGCCCGCACAAGCGGAGGAACAUGUGGUUUAAUUCGAUGAUACGCGAGGAACCUUACCCGGGCUUGAAAUGGAGAAGAAUAACCGUGAAAGCGGUUAGCCAGCAAUGGCUUCUUUGUAGGUGCUGCAUGGUUGUCGUCAGCUCGUGCCGUGAGGUGUCGGCUUAAGUGCCAUAACGAGCGCAACCCUUGCCAAUAGUUACCAGCAGUAAGAUGGGGACUCUAUUGGGACUGCCACCGUAAGGUGUGAGGAAGGUGGGGAUGACGUCAAAUCAGCACGGCCCUUACGUCCGGGGCGACACACGUGUUACAAUGGGAGAUACAGAGGGCUGCUACCACGCGAGUGGAUGCUAAUCUCCAAAAUCUCUCUCAGUUCGGAUCGGAGUCUGCAACUCGACUCCGUGAAGCUGGAUUCGCUAGUAAUCGCGCAUCAGCCAUGGCGCGGUGAAUACGUUCCCGGGCCUUGUACACACCGCCCGU